GCAAAACCAGCAACAUCAAGAUGCAACAUGGGGACACUAGAUUGUAUAAAUGAGAGAAUCUGUGAAGCUUAUAAGGCACGGGGCCUACCUUGCCCCUGAGCUAUGCGAAAUGACAUAAUUUGCCCUUUUAAUAAAGAGCAAAUUAUACAUUUGAUCAGCCAGCAAAAAGUAAUUAGUACAUCAUUUAAUCAAAUAAAAAUAUAUUGUGCUAGAAUUUAUUUCUUAGAGCAGUUAUAUUGUGUAAUUUUUUCUUCGGUAGUAAUUCCAUUAUUCAC
rnacentral:lncRNA from 1 species